rnacentral:rRNA from 1 species
GAUGAACGCUGGCGGCGUGCCUAACACAUGCAAGUCGAACGGAGUCGUUUUGGAAAUCUCUUCGGAGAUGGAAUUCUCGACUUAGUGGCGGACGGGUGAGUAACGCGUGAGCAAUCUGCCUUUAAGAGGGGGAUAACAGUUGGAAACGGCUGCUAAUACCGCAUAAAGCAUUAAAUUCGCAUGUUUUUGAUGCCAAAGGAGCAAUCCGCUUUUAGAUGAGCUCGCGUCUGAUUAGCUAGUUGGCGGGGUAACGGCCCACCAAGGCGACGAUCAGUAGCCGGACUGAGAGGUUGAACGGCCACAUUGGGACUGAGACACGGCCCAGACUCCUACGGGAGGCAGCAGUGGGGAAUAUUGCGCAAUGGGGGAAACCCUGACGCAGCAACGCCGCGUGAUUGAAGAAGGCCUUCGGGUUGUAAAGAUCUUUAAUCAGGGACGAAACAAAUGACGGUACCUGAAGAAUAAGCUCCGGCUAACUACGUG